GCUGGGCGUGGUGGCUCAUGCCUGUGAUCCCAGCUACUCGGGAGGCUGAGACAGGAGAAUUGCUUGAACCCAGGAGGCAGAGGUUGCAGUGAGGUGAGAUGGAGCCACUGCACUCCAACCUGGGUGACAGAGCAAGACUCUGUCUCAA
ensembl:misc_RNA Metazoa_SRP Metazoan signal recognition particle RNA